CGCGAGAGGCUCAAGCGUGUUUCAAUGUAUACACAUGAUUUGCUCAUGCGUGUUUUAAUUUAUACACGCAAUAAGCUGAUGCGUGUCUCCCUUGGAUACAAAAUUCAGUCCAGGCUGCUGCUUCAGCUUUCUGCCUCUCACAGAACGCGAAAACUGCUUUGCUUCGUAGCCCCAUUCAUCCCAACCAGCAAAAAUCGAACCCUAAUCCGACAUUUAGCUGCUCUCAUUCCAAUUUGAAGUGUUGUUAGGUGUGAUGGUGUUUGUAAGUUUAUAUUGGGAUGGGAAAAUUAUUCAGCUCCCAGGUUUAGGUGUUGCUUAUGAUCCCCCUCGUGCAAAAUCAUUUAUUAUCUUGAAUGCAAAGAUAUCUUAUUAUCAGCUAGUUUCAAUGAUAUGUGAAAAAAUUGGAAUUGAUUUAGAUGCACAUACGAUUGAUUUAACAUGGAGGCAUCCUGUGGUUUUUAGUGGAGUGGUGAAUUAUAUAGCUACACCAGUGGAUGAUAAUUUGUUGGAGUAUAUGUUUGCUGAAAAUCCACGUCAAAUUGAACUUUUUAUUGAA